UUGUGUACCGGCUUCAACGUUCAUUCAUCGCCUCCUCUGGUACCAUGAAAAUAUUACAUCGGAUUUCAGCACGUCCGUUCUCUUCCUGAAUCCAGAUCUAGACGCAAAUCCAUAUCCAUGGAGUCGAAUUUGGUUCCGAUGAGCAUGAUCAGUCGCCGAUCUGACCAAGUUUCAGCAAAGCCCUAAGGUGAAAGGCCGCCUCGCCGAGUUCUGAAAGCAGAGAGGGGGAGGAAGAGUGGCCAAUGGCCAUGGGCAAAGAGGGGGGAAGGCCAAGAAGGGCAGGAGUGCCUCCUAAGCGCAAGAGAACGAAGGGCCUCCACCCCAAACCGCGUUCCUUCAAGGGAGUCAAGCCCACCUCCACCACCAACCCGGAAGGCAUCCAUGAGAGAAGCAGAAAGCGGCACGAGAAAGAAAGGAAGAAGAAGAACAAGAAGCAGAGGAACGAGGAGGACGAGGAGGAAGAGGGGGUGCUGGUGAAGGACAUGGAGGGGGAGAAGAAGAACGCUUCCACCCGUCAUGCACAAACAAUCUCGCCGGAUGCCUCCCCUUCUCAACAGUUGCAGUACUUUUUCGAUAGGCUUCGGUCCGCUGUUGGAGUCACACUUUCUUCCCUCGAACUGGAAGAAAUUUCAGAUUCGAGCGUGGUGGAGCUCCCCCAAAGUUUAGGUCGUGAUGUUGGAAACUUUAACAAGCAUAUAAAGGCUAUCUUUGGUGAUUCAUGGAAAGCGACACUUUGUCAAAGCCAGCUUGUGGAAGGAAAAGUUGAUGCAGGUAGCCCUGCUGUGCUUAUAAUCUGUGCUUCAGCUUUGAGGUCUUUGGAACUGCUCAGAGGUCUACGAACUCUGACAAGAGAAUGCCGUGCAGUAAAGCUGUUCUCAAAGCACAUGAAAGUAGAGGAGCAGGUCUCCUUGCUCAAGAGUCGUGUGAACAUUGCAUGUGGCACCCCUAACAGUUAUGGUUUGCAGGAUUCAAAAGUUGAUUGACAUGGAUGCAUUAGUUCUUUCACGGUUAUCUGUUAUCGUGAUUGACAUGCACCUUGAUGCAAAGGGCUAUUCACUGUUGACUCUUCCACAAGUCAGCUUGGAGUUCUGGGAUUUGUACAAGACCCACUUUCAUGGUCUCCUGCAAGGUGGAAAACUGCGAAUAUGUUUCUACUAGUGAGUCAGAUUACAGAUGCUAGAUGAAUGGGCAGACGUCUGCUCACAAGUUUUGUGAUGUGAAAGGAGCUGACAAAGCCAAGUUGAUCGCCGGAAUUUUUUGUUAAUUAGUUUGUAACUUGUAAAUUCUGCUUAUACAGUUCUUGAUAAGUAAUUCAUGAAAAUGGCUGAAGAAAUGUUUGUCAUUA